GCUCCUACCGAUUGGAUGACUCGGUGAAAUCACCGGAUGCUUACGAGCAGAAGUGAUUAAAUCACGUUAUCUAGAGGAAGGAGAAGUCGUAACAAGGUAACG
rnacentral:rRNA from 1 species